ensembl:lncRNA
CUCAGCUCGGCUCUCCCUGCGCGCUGCUACCGGGAGGGGUAUGGCUCUUCUGCUAGCAAGGCAAACUUUCAUUUGGAGCUGAGCAACAGGCAGGUGCUGUUACAAGUGUGACUGACAUUCUGGCCAGACUCAGCUGCACAGACUGUGCAACCCUGAGGAAACCAAAUCUUAUCCCUGCCUGAUCUUCCCUAACCACAGUGGUGGAAGAGUGAUCCUGAAGUGCUAUAUAGGCAGACAGCACACCCAGAGUCUUGGGUGACAAAAAUGUUGCAGAAGUUUGUGUGCUCAACCAGAAUAACAGAAACUUGGGUGACUGCUUAUCACACGUCCUCAGGAAGGCAUCUAAGAGACUUCUUGGCCCAUGGAUUGCCCUGACCUUGACCUCUACAGGCUUUACCUCUGCAGCUCAUCAGCCAAAGCAAAGGGGUGCAGAUGUCCCUUGCAGGUCCACACUCCAGCUGGCAGGUGGAGGGGUGGCCUCUUCUCCAUGCCAAGCACUGGCUCACUGAG